rnacentral:rRNA from 1 species
AUGCUCAUGGAGCGGCCGAUAUCUGAUUAGCUAGUUGGUGGGGUAAAAGCCCACCAAGGCGACGAUCAGUAGCUGGUCUGAGAGGACGACCAGCCACACUGGGACUGAGACACGGCCCAG